GCAGGCAUUGUGUUAAUGCGCAGGGCCAUUGCCAAAAUGCUUUUAAGAGAAACUGAUGACCUUUCAGAACUAUGCCUUUCUUGUGGAGACAGAUACAAACAGAUGACCAACUGAUCAAUGGAUUGAAUGCUCAGAAUGUGGAAGGUGGUACUAUUAGGGCUGUGUGGGCAGACCUUAAACAGCUGGC